GCUCUUGUUACCUCAGAACCCUCUAGCUUUUCCAGCCACACGUGGAAUAUUUGGUCUGUCUGGGCUUGGAACGGGACACAGGUGUAGAGAGACACAAACUUUCACUGCAUGUGAGAGAACUGGAAACCAGCGAGGAACCAGCUCUGAUCUUGUGGAAUCAUGGGAACCAGCAGUAGCAGAGUAUGAAAUGUCAUUAUUCUGUUAAAUGAGACUAUUAAUUCAGCUCGGGAUCCUAUGGCCAGUGCAUAAUGUGCAGUACUUAGUUCUGCUCACGCAGUCCUCGCUAAUGCUCUGGGAACACUGUGUGCCCUAGGAGGGACGUGAAGGACUGCGCCAGAAAUUACUACUGAUCUUAACACCACAUCCAUAUGGCUGAGGGGCCUGUUAGCCUAUACAAUUCAUUGAGGAUGUUUCCAUCUGUGAAUAGGUCCCAUUAUACCCUAAUUGUGUCAGAUUAAAUGUAUUUUUAAAAUAUUUGCACAAGUUAAUAUUUAUAACAGAUAUUAAGCCUUAUCCAGCCCUGUUUCUGGUUUCCCCCCACCUGAGUUGAUUUCUCUGGCUAUUUUGGAGGGUGGAGGUUGUCCCAUGUGAGCACCAGACACUGGGAGCCAUACUGUCUUUUAUUUUUGUUGGAACAAAAUGUUGUGUAGGGAAAUAGAAGACAAUGCCUACAAUAAACACUUGACCUCAGUGAGGUGCAAUGGAAAGAACUGGCACAGGUGGGAGCAGUUCUGACCCCCUUUGGCUCCCUGCCUGGGGCUGCAGGGAAGCACAGCUGUCUGCAGUGAGGGGUAAUGUCCAUAUCCCAUCCAGGUCUGGACUGGCCAUGGGCACAGCAGUGAUGGGGGGUUAUUGCCUUCACCUGAGCACAGGGGCUCUGCCACAGUGAAAACCAGAGUGAACAGGUGAAAACAGCCUGACCGGGAGCUGGCAUCCUACCAAUUGCUGAGCAGCAGGAAGUCAAAAGGGAGAAGCACAGGUGAUUCCCUUUUUGGCUGGGGCUGGGAACGCCUGCAUCCUACAUGUCGGAAAGCUGCUGCACAGCAAGGCAGGAAGAGGACUGAGCGGCUGAGAGAGCUCAGUUUGUCCUGGGGGCUGGGAGUUCCUUCAGCAGCAGCAGCCGCCCCCUACUCUCCUCAGUUCGGUGCAUCUCAAAGGACAGCUGGCUUCUGAGAGGAGGAGGACUGAUGUGCCCCUGAAACCCUCAGCACACCUGGCACACCACCCAGAACAGGCAGAGACCUUGCAAAAAACAAGCAGGUACCAGCUGGAGAUGCUGUUGGACCCGUGUGAGUUCAGUGAUUCACCCUCCCCCAGUGCCAAAGCCAGGUCAGCCUGAGGAAGUGCUGCUGACAGCACAGCUGGAAAAGAAGGCAUCAGAUUCAUGGAGAAAGGCUGGAGCACAUCUUUGGGAAGACAAUGCACUACGGUACACCCAAAUCUGGGAUUUUUACAGCUGGGUUUUUUGUAAGUAUCGAAAGAAGCUGGAUUGAGGCUUGUGCACACACCAUCUGGCAUAUCUCAUCAGAAAAGCUUCCCUCCCUGCUGACACAUAAGAGAAAGUGCUUUCAGGUUC